UAUGUGAGAGGCAAGCGUUAUUCGUCAUUAAUGGGUCUAAAGGGUACGUAGGCGGUAUAAUUAAUCUAUUUAUUUUUAACACCUUAGAGUGGAAUUUAUAUUAUUAUACUAGAGUCAAAGGGAGUAACAAAUACUUCGGGAAGAGGGUGACAAUCCAGAGAUACUCGAGGGGUUGCGAAGCGGCGAAAGCGUGUUACUACGAAAGACUGACGCUGAGGUACGAAGGCUAGGGGAGCGAUAGGG
rnacentral:rRNA from 1 species